GGGACCUGCUGCUUGGGGUGGCCCUGGUUUCCUCGUGCAGGCUGGAGAGUCUGUGUGUUCUGUCAGAGGAGCCUUUGCCAAUCACCGCAGCAGGAACCAUCAGGUUUAGGGUAACAGUUUUCACGACUGUACAGUGGGAUAACAAGCGUUAAUAUCAACAAACGUACCUGCCUUCCAAGGAAAAGCGGCCCAGGCCAGGUGGGCUUCAGGGGGUGGAUCAGAGAAGCUCGGUUACCUUACCAUAAGAAUAUUAGGGGUCUAUGAAUAAAAUUGGACAGGUGAGCAUAUUAGUGGGAAGAAUGGUGUUCCUGAUUAGCAAGAAAAUCACUGGGUGCAUCCCUACCUGUGUGAGUGUGCUGGAGAAGGCAUGAGGACCUGGCACAGCUAGGACAGGCAAAUUCUGAGAGGCCCUUUCAAGUACCUACUGCUGCUGAGGUUCUUGUGAGUUCCUGUUUUCAUGUCUGAGGAAAGCCAGAGUGGCAGAGUCCAAUACCUUCUGUUUUUCUCAUCGCUCCAGGCCAAUAUUUUCUCCACUCGACAUCACAGGGCAGCUGAAGUGCCUCUUGAAGCUGGAAACAGGACCUCCUCAUGACAGGGGCCUGUACACAAUGAUACAUCAUUAAAUUUAUAAUUUAAAAAAUAAUAAUAAAGUA